AACGAACGCUGGCGGCAGGCCUAACACAUGCAAGUCGAGCGAAGCCUUCGGGCUUAGCGGCGGACGGGUGAGUAACGCGUGGGAACGUGCCCUUUGGUACGGAAUAGCCCCGGGAAACUGGGAGUAAUACCGUAUGUGGUCGAGAGACGAAAGAUUUAUCGCCAAAGGAUCGGCCCGCGUUGGAUUAGGUAGUUGGUGGGGUAAUGGCCUACCAAGCCGACGAUCCAUAGCUGGUUUGAGAGGAUGAUCAGCCACACUGGGACUGAGACACGGCCCAGACUCCUACGGGAGGCAGCAGUGGGGAAUCUUAGACAAUGGGGGAAACCCUGAUCUAGCCAUGCCGCGUGAUCGAUGAAGGCCUUAGGGUUGUAAAGAUCUUUCAGUGGGGAAGAUAAUGACUGUACCCACAGAAGAAGCCCCGGCUAACUCCGUGCCAGCAGCCGCCGCGG
rnacentral:rRNA from 1 species